rnacentral:lncRNA from 1 species
CGGGGAUUAUAAUCGCGUUUAUUAAAUUUUAUUAAACAAAACGAUAAUGAUAACCAUUAACGAUAAUAUGUUGGCAACGACACGCGAUAUUUGAAAUCUGACUCUUAAUAAUAAUAAUAAAAAAAAUCAUGAGUGUACCGCGUUAUAAAAUCCUAACCGCUAAUCAUAUUAUUGGAUAUAAACGGAUAUAUUAUUAUUUUGAGAAGUACUUUAAAAAUAUGUCGACGGCCGCUGCAGGUGUAAUAUAUUGUACACCGGAAUAUAUCAAGUGGAAACAGAUAAAACCGUUUUUUUCAUAUGGUUAGUAUAAGUGUAGUAUAAGUAUACAUACUUAUUACCUGAGUAUAGAAGUACAUUUAUACAUUGCGAUUUAAUCGCAUAUAUAUUAUACGAGAAACUGUAUCGUUUCUCUACUUUCGCUCGUCUAAAAUUCCAGAAUGUUGGAAACGCGCAUAACAUUAUAAUAUAGCGAACGUUUUGUGCGCCCUACAUAUAAAUAUUAUCUCUGUGGAUUUAACCGGCCAUAUGAAUAUCAUUAGUAUUAUAAAACGCGGACGAUUUAUUAUUAUAAUUUAUAAGUAGUUGUAUUAGGUAGAUGGAUGACAUUUAUUAAGUGAUCUCGUUUCAAAACAGAAAAAAAAACCAGUAGGAAUACCGGCAAGGUUAAUAAUAUAACUCAAUAUUUUAUUGUAAUUUGGUAUCUUAAACUGUAAUACGUUUAUCAACGGAUUUCGGUUUUUUUCAUAUCUAUUACAAUAAAACGUUUAAAUGUAAAAUCGGUUAUGAUUUUGCAAAAUACUCUGAAUUUUCGACCUUUAAGACACGGCUCGGAUCGCGCGAAACGGGCAAUUUUCUAUUUUUAUUUUUUUUCAUAUAGAAAAUCGUGCGUUGUUGGUUUGUUUAGCGGUAUUUUUAAUAAUAUUUAAUAAAAAUCGCACACCUCUCCGAAAAAAAACCACUGAAUCGCAAAGGUCAGGAAAUUUGAGAACGAUUUUUUUAUAAUUCGAAACUAGAUUAUCCCAAAUAUUGUAAAUAUUUACGUGAUAUAAUAUUACUGUAAUAGAGAGUAUUCGGAGAUAAACACAAUUAAGAAUACGACUAGACUUAUACUUAGGUAGUAAGGAAAUUUAAAUUCUUAUCGACUAUCAAGUAAGAUAUAAGUAGUUCGUCAAAUUUUCGCACGGAAAUUAAUAAUCUAGUGAACACCGGUGGAAGUUUCGUAGGUAUUUAUUUGAACUUAAAAAUUAACAGUGUUGGGGGAGGGGGCUUAUGUACAAGCUCUUGAAUUCACCUAUAAUAACUAGGAUCCGGAUUUUGAUGGUUUUAAUUUUAAUUUUUCGAUACUCCAGAUAGAUACGGCACCGAAGUGUCCGAAUAUAUUUACCAUUGUGGAAUCGCGCUAGGUACCCGAGAACUCCGGACACCUUGUAAUAUGAAACGCUGCGCGAUAAAACAGAUCGGUAAAUAGAGUUUCAAAAGUUAAAUUUGGAAUUUAAAUUUCUCGCACUUUUUCUGUUAUUAGGUCGUGUUUUAUUUAUUUUUAGUGCAUUAUAUUUUAUGUAUUAUAUGAAUUAUAGGCGUUUCGAAAUAUUAUUGCCGAUAAACGUAGUUUUUAUAACAUUUACCUGGAUGGCAAAAUGAUACGUUAGGAUAGUGCACUUUGAGUCCAGAUUAACCAAACAGAGUGGCGAAAUAGGUUACUGCUUAGGUUGGCGAGCUUUUGCGGUUUAGAUAUUAGGCAUGAAAAAUUGUGUUUAUUGUGUCUAUACUAUUGUCGUAGUAGAAUUAUGAAAACUUGAAAAGAUGGCUAAAAAUAUAUUUGUCUAGAGCGGCAAAAUAUUUUAAAUCGAUCCUGUUUUUCCGGCGUUAUUGCGUUAAA